rnacentral:rRNA from 1 species
CCUACGGGAGGCAGCAGUGAGGAAUAUUGGUCAAUGGACGAGAGUCUGAACCAGCCAAGUAGCGUGAAGGAUGACUGCCCUAUGGGUUGUAAACUUCUUUUAUAUGGGAAUAAAAUGUUCCACGUGUGGGAUUUUGUAUGUACCAUAUGAAUAAGGAUCGGCUAACUCCGUGCCAGCAGCCGCGGUAAUACGGAGGAUCCGAGCGUUAUCCGGAUUUAUUGGGUUUAAAGGGAGCGUAGGUGGAUUGUUAAGUCAGUUGUGAAAGUUUGCGGCUCAACCGUAAAAUUGCAGUUGAAACUGGCAGUCUUGAGUACAGUAGAGGUGAGCGGAAUUCGUGGUGUAGCGGUGAAAUGCUUAGAUAUCACGAAGAACUCCGAUUGCGAAGGCAGUUCACUGGACUGCAACUGACACUGAGGCUCGAAAGUGAGGGUAUCAAACAGGAUUAGAUACCCGAGUAGUC